rnacentral:lncRNA from 1 species
UGAGAGCAAGAAAUAUGAAAAGGAUUAAGGUAUAUGAGAGACUGUCAAGACAAAUAUAGCUACUGAAGAACUGAGGGAUGUGAGAUUCAGAGGAUCUUUAAUAACAGUUUGAAAGUUGGUUGUAAUUCAGGGUUCUCUCCACAGGAUGGGGCUGAGGGGCUCAACUGUGAAUGAAAUGUGAAUAUUUGCAAUCUGUAUUCACACAAAAUUUCACCCUUUGACUUAUCAAUAUGCAGAUAGAAUUGCUAGGUGUUUGCUAUUUGAAGGGUUUUUAUUAUACAUGGCAUCAAAACCUCAGUGGCUGUUAA